UGGGGAAUCUUAGACAAUGGGGGAAACCCUGAUCUAGCCAUGCCGCGUGAGCGAUGAAGGCCUUAGGGUUGUAAAGCUCUUUCGCCUGGGAAGAUAAUGACGGUACCAGGUAAAGAAGCCCCGGCUAACUCCGUGCCAGCAGCCGCGGUAAUACGGAGGGGGCUAGCGUUGUUCGGAAUUACUGGGCGUAAAGCGCGCGUAGGCGGGCUGUUAAGUCAGGGGUGAAAUCCCGGGGCUCAACCCCGGAACUGCCCUUGAUACUGGCAGCCUAGAGUUCGAGGGAGGUGAGUGGAAUUGCGAGUGUAGAGGUGAAAUUCGUAGAUAUUCGCAGGAACACCAGUGGCGAAGGCGGCUCACUGGCUCGAUACUGACGCUGAGGUGCGAAAGUGUGGGGAGCAAACAGGAUUAGAUACCCCCGUAGUCC
rnacentral:rRNA from 1 species